UUCCAAGGUAUACAACUAGAACUGCAAAAGCAUAUGAACUCCAGUCAGGCUACCUCGGGCUCUGUCAGAUAUUCUUUCUCCAAGGAAACUGAGGAAUUCAGGCAAUCAGAUAAAUAUUCAAUGGUUGAAACCUUGUCUAUAAGAAGUGACUCUG